GCUGAGAAAAUACUACAAAUUGCAGCUAUUAGCACAGUUGCUCUUGAUUGCAUUUCGUAAGCUUUAAACAAAACACUGACUAAUAGUCCGCAGACAAUCUGUUUGAUAUAAAAGAGCAAAAGACUUGAAGAUUGUCAUCAGUUAGUUGACUAACAAACCACAAUAGAGACACUAAAAUGAAGACAUUCGCCUUAAUCUUCUUGGCUAUUGCUGUUUUGGUGCUCUGCAUUGACGGAGCUCCAACUAUUGUGAAUUUACUGGACGACGUACAGGAAGAGGUAGAAGUUAGUACGAAUGAGCCUUAGGAAGAAAAUCUUUGGGGACUUUCAGGCAGAGCUUUCCCAGAGGGAGAGCUUUUUGCCUUGCUGUAGAUUUUUUAAAAUGAAUCAAUUUAAUUGAAGCAAUUACGCUAUAUUUGUGGUAAUAUUUUUGAAUUAAAAACUAAUUAUGGAAAUUAAUAUAUAAUUUUCAGAAUAUCAAUAAAUUCAUCAAAAUUGUAUUAAUUAAAAAAAAAAUAUUGAAUGAAAUUCCCAAUAAAAGCUUUCAAAUUAA